rnacentral:rRNA from 1 species
UACGAAGGGUGCAAACGUUGCUCGGAAUUAUUGGGCGUAAAGCGCACGUAGGCGGCUUAGCAAGUUGGAUGUGAAAGCCCUCGGCUUAACCAAGGAAGUGCAUCCAAAACUGCUGAGCUUGAGUAGUUAAGAGGAUCGCGGAAUUCCCGGUGUAGAGGUGAAAUUCGUAGAUAUCGAUCGGAACACCCAUGGCGAAGGCAGCUCGCUGGCCUAAAACUGACGCGUGAGGCACGGAAGGCCAGGGAGCAAACGGG